AGUGAACGCUGGCGGUAGGUAUAACACAGGCAAGUCGAACGGCAGCACAGUAAGAGCUUGCUCUUACGGGUGGCGAGUGGCGGACGGGUGAGGAAUACAUCGGAAUCUACUUUUUCGUGGGGGAUAACGUAGGGAAACUUACGCUAAUACCGCAUACGACCUACGGGUGAAAGCAGGGGAUCUUCGGACCUUGCGCGAUUGAAUGAGCCGAUGUCGGAUUAGCUAGUUGGCGGGGUAAAGGCACACCAAGGCGACGAUCCGUAGCUGGUCUGAGAGGAUGCUCAGCCACACUGGAACUGAGACACGGUCCAGACUCCUACGGGAGGCAGCAGUGGGGAAUAUUGGACAAUGGGCGCAAGCCUGAUCCAGCCAUACCGCGUGGGUGAAGAAGGCCUUCGGGUUGUAAAGCCCUUUUGUUGGGAAAGAAAAGCAGCAGGUUAAUACCCCGCUGUUCUGACGGUACCCAAAGAAUAAGCACCGGCUACCUUCGUG
rnacentral:rRNA from 1 species